rnacentral:rRNA from 1 species
AUAUUGGGCAAAGUACGCAAGUAUGAUCCCAACCAUGCGGCGUGCAGGAUGACAGCCUUAUGGGUUGUAAACUGCUUUUAUCAGGGAAUAACCGCACGUACGUGUACGUGUUUGAAUGUACCUGAAGAAUAAGCACAGGCUAACUCCGUGCCAGCAGCCGCGGUAA